GGAGAGAUGAAAUGGCAGUGUAAAAUAAGGAAAAAAAAAUGGAAAGGUCAAUAAUUGGGCCUAAAAGGCUGGCAUCCCACACCAUUCACUCACCCCCCCCCCCCUCCAAAUAAUCCCCAGCCACUCCACCUGCGCCAAUCAUCUUCACUUCAUCUCCGGCCAACAUCCCGUUGCUGACCGACCCAAUAAUCUACGUCCUUUGGCCUACUCUGUAACAUCUAUGUUUCUUUCGUUCCCAUUGUUUUGCCUUAAAUUCAUCUCAAGUGUAGAGACCAACUCAACCCCUCAUCAAACGGCUACUUCAAAUUAUUGAAUUCCACAAAUCCACAAAAUAAAACUCAGAUUUCUCAAUUACAACAAAAUUAGAAGCGUUAAAAAUAGUGAUUUUCCAAGUGGGUUACUCUUUGAAUUUAACUUGCAUUAAAUGUAUCAAACAUGCCCAGAUGGAGUAAAUUUCCACAACUGCUUAAUCAUUCAAUGAUUGAAUUGCAUUUAAGAAAUCAUCAAGCAAAUAAAGACCCCAGAAAAAUGAAAAUAUCCACUUCAAAUGAAUCCAAGUAUCAGCCCGAAAGAAACUAGGACUUGGACGUGGAAAAUAUCCACUUGGAAUGAAUCCAUGAACUGCAACCUCCACUAAGAAGAAUUCUGUCGUGGAAAUUGGUAAUGGUGACUGCUCCUGCACAUCCAAAAUCUUGUGGCACUGUGAAAUCAGCACCAUACUCAGGAUCUGUUUGA
rnacentral:lncRNA from 1 species